AGAACUUUCCCAUAGCUGAAGCUAAGAAUAGAUUGCGUUUGGAGAAAAAACAAUGGUCUAAAAGUGCUUUUAGACUCAAACCAAGAAGCUAGUGUAAUCCAACUUUUGGCUUUUGAUUUUAACGUUUGGGUUAUCUAAUUACCAAAUAAAAACCUCAUUUAAUUGUUUCCCUCCUAACGUUAUGCAAGACAUUAAUGUUGUUACUCACUUACAAUCAAAUCUCCCGCGUUGCUAUCUGCUCUAUUAUGUCAGUUUUAGGGAAAAAAAAAAAAACAGUAGCUCCAGACCUGAAGCAAGAGGAGCAGUUUUGAGAAUAAGAUAGUUUUAAGGAACAAAGAAGCUCCAAAUUUGAAUCAAGAAGACCAGCACAAUCUAAAGGCUUUGACCAACUUUGGAUAUUAGUGGGCAUGGUGCAAACAUAUUGGUCAAGUUUUUAUGUUUCAUUCUUUUGUGCUUGCCAUGGUGCAAACAUAUUAGUUAAAUGUAGAAAGUAAUAACUUUGAAAUUCAUUUGAAAUAUUUAACAUUAA